GUUAUUAAACACAGGCUUUGAUGAUGACACAUUUCCCAUGUUCAUAACUUGUGAUUGGUGAAGAAACAGCUGAGGCCUAGAUAAGUUAUGUGCCCAAUGCCACACAGCUAGAAAGCUACAAAGCUGAAGUUUGAACCCAACUCAUCUUGGUCCAGAGUCUGUGCACAGAAGUCCUCAUACAUCCAGCACUCAGCCUGCUCUUGAGCAAAAGGUACAUGUCCAACUUAAGAAAGCGUUUACUACUAGAGAUCGCUGAAAAAAUCAUAAGUCAUUUCAAUCAGGUUGAAUGCACUGCCCCAGAGAUGUUCAAGAAGAGGUUCAAGGACUUCUUAGGACGGAGUUUUAUGAGAGGCACCAACAUUGAAGACAUCAAAUCCAAUUGUAAAGUCCUUCCAAAUGGAAGAUUGUAAAAGCAUCUAAAGGUCUAUUCUGGAUGGGAAGAUAACAUGGGCAAAGGUAAUGACUAUCUGGGAGGAGCAGACCAGUAUGGCUGUAAUGAGAAAUUCAUGGAGAAGAGUGGUUUCCAGUAAUGCUGCAAAAAUCGGCUAGAAUCAGAUUGCGAGAGACCCUGAAUGUCAGCAAAAUCGGGUUUUGGUCUUAAUCCUCUUAAUCCUUUAACUGAUGGGAAGACUUAAAGAGUUCCUCCUCUGGAAAGUGAUAAAGUUUUGCCUUUUUUUUUUUUUUCUAGUUUGGAGUUUUUUGUUUUGUUUUGUUUUUGAUACAAAGGGUAUGAAGUAAAUUAAUCAGAUGACAUUCUUGAUCUACUGCGAAUGACUCAGUCAAGCCUCUUUUGCAUCUUCUCUUCCUCCCACUGUCCACAAGGUGGCACCAGAACUCAAAAUCAGAACUCCCUGGAAGGUUGUCUAACUGUUCCAAGCCUUUCCUGUAGGAUGACUCCUAUAAAGAUACUUUUGAGGUGAACAUGUCAAAAUAUAUUUUUAUUAACAAUUUUUAAUCGGCCUCUUCAUUCACUCUGGUGUAUUUUUCCAGGAGUUAACAAUUUUCGUCUUAACUGACUGCAACGUUCUGAAGAACUUCUGGGGACUGUGCCAGUUUAGAGACUAUUGUAGACCAAAAUCAUAAACAACACAUCCUACAGAAAAUGCUAAUGAUCAACUGGACGUUGAUACAGUGGAAUUUGUUCGACCCUCGAUGACUUCCAGAAGGGGGGAGCUGUUCUAGUUCACAAGAUGGAGAGAGUGUAGCAGUUGGAGGUGUGUGUCCAAGAGGCGACGUGGCACAUGCCCUCCAGCCAGUUUUGUUGGACCCCAGUGGAAAGCUUUCUGAAUGCCAGUUCCUACCCAGAUUUCCCAGCUCACCAGUCCCAGCCAGCUGGCCAUGGACCAGAUUUGGCCUGAAGCAAUCCAACUUCUCUGCCAUCCAGUAGGUCCAGCCACAAUGAAUUUAGACUCCAAUGAAGUCUGAAUCUUAGUGCUGGAGAGGAACCCCCUUCUCCAAGUGUAUUUCUUCAUUUGGGACUUUCAGAGAAUUCAAGGGAAUUCCCUGAAUUCUCUUUUAUACCCUCUGAGUGGCUACUCACCUGCUACCAGUUAGUAUUUCUUUCUAUUAAAUAUUCCCUGAUCAAUUACUGGUGUUGAUUCUGUUUCCUUUUUGGACCCUGUCUCGUACAGUAAAUCAAUGAGUAAGAAGUCUGAAUACAUAGGACAUUUACUCAGUCUUAAUUCAAGAAUAUUCUGCCUUACUAGGCUAAAAAAAAUGUUAACAAGCAGAGCUUUUUAAAGACCUAAUGUAAUCAUCAGACUCCAGGGAAUAGAUUUUUACUGCUGGAUGGAGCCCAAGAGGCCACCAGCCUUUCCAGUUGAACCAUCCUGGUCACCCAGAGGUGAAGUGGCUUUGUUUAUGGAGUGGCUGUGUGGGACAUGCUGGGAGGCAGCUUCUCCUUGAGAUUCCCCUGGCUGCUGCUGAGGACCCUCUCCAGGAGCUGCACCAGAUGAUGCACUGACGUUUUUAUGAGGACCCAUGGGAGGGAGAAAGUUCUCUCAAGCCUAAGAACUGGGAAUAGUCAUGCUUCUUCUGAAUGACUCUUGGGAUUUAGCUCAUGGACACUCUUGAAACAUGUAACUGCGUGGUUCCUAUUUAGAACAGUGGCCAGAAAGGUCAGGAACAAAACGGUGGCUCUCUCCUGGUAAGCAGGCAGUGCCCCACGGCAAUGACGCUUUACAUUCCUGCUCCCCUGGCUUAACCUCAGCUGUUUUACACCCUGCUUUUUCCCUUGCCUUGAUUGCCUCAUGUAUUUAUUACUGUUAUCCUAUUACAUACAUCAGACACUUUAAAACAUCCAUUUAAGAGUUAGCUAUAAACAAAAUAUCAAAGUAUAAAUCUAUUCUCCUCAAGCUAACAUCAUUGUUCUUUUCAUUACUGUUUCCUUACAGCAACAAAGAAUUCAAAUACUUGUAUCUUCCUGAGAAUAGGUGCACCUCGGAGAUCCAAGAGCAAUUUGUUCAGAUAUUUCAAAAUUUCCUUUACCACUUGCUUACCUAAUUAAUAUGUGUAAUAAAUGUCCAAUUUCAUAUCCAAAUCACAAAAAUUGUUAGCCUGGGCUUUAUCAACUUUUUAGUAUUUUUUCAAUGCAAAGGUAUCCAAAUUGAUCAGUUUGACUAUUACAAGGCUGGCCACAGGCUCAGAAAGAAUAAACUUUUAUUUUUUCUUAUUUCUUUAUCAAAUUAUAGUGUCAAAAUGUGGUUUCUUUCAAAGACAGUCAUUUAGCAAUACUCCACAAAUUGUGGGGAAAAAAAAAAUUUGUGUCCUCUCUCUUAUUUUUGUGCUCUUAUUGUGUUUUCUUUGCUGAAUAAGCAGCUUUCUUUCUCGUGUCUCUAGGAUGGUGAGAGAUGACUAUUCAAAACCUUAUUUACACCUAGACUCCCUCAUGUUUCUGUGCUUCCGUGGCCAGACUUCCACAGCUAUCAUUUAUCAUGGGCAGUGACUCAUACCUUGUAGGGGCAAAAUAAAUAUUUGCUGAAUAAAUCCUCAGAGCUGCUACCAAAAAUGGGAAACCUUGGAAACAAAAAAGCAAUCAUAGAAAAUAAAGUAACUGCAGCUGUGGAAACAGAAAAGCUAUAUGAUAUUCUUGCUUUUCUCUUCAUAAUUCCUCCAAAGAGAGGCAGAUUUUGUUUUCUGUACUGAAGCUGAAAAGCAACGUAGCUUUGUCUUAGUCUGAUUUCAAAGAAUUCCAAACAACGUUUUUCUUGUUUUCCUUUACUUCAGAGAAAACGUGACACUUUGCCGUUGGUAGAUAUUCAUUCUUUUUGUUAAGUAUCUAUGUGAGAGCUUGUCAAUGUUUUUAUGCAGAUAGCCCUGGUAACCUUGGAUCAUCCUCCAGAAAGCCUUUGGUGAAGAAAAGUCAGGCAAAUUGACCUACAGACCAGUCUAAUGGGAGCAAUUCGGAGAAAUGGGCCAUGGGAACAAAUGACAGGAACAGAUAAAAAAAGAAGUGUAAAUGAACCAAAAAGGAGUCAGUGCUUCUGCUCUCCUAUUGCUAUAACCAGCACAUUACUAGACGUAGCCUUCUCUUGGUCUCUUAUUUAACCCUGAGUAUGGUUCAUAGAUAAAUGGGCCAGUGUCCUUUUAACCAUCAGAUUUUCCAUUUAUUUCAGAAAAUAUAAGAUCAAUUUUCCAUGUGAUUUAAUUGGGUUACUGGGUUAGUGCCCUUCAUGCCUUCAAACAUAUUCUUGUACCUAUUUGUAUUACCCAAGUCUUUGAUCUUCCAUAAUGAAGCCUGUGUUUCUCUUAGGGCCCUUCUGGGAUGACUAGCUCAACCGAAUCAAGGAGGAAUGAACCCUUAUUUCUGAACACCCUAAGUUCCUCAUGCAAGUGAGCUAACAGAAAUCAAAACAGACAAAUGAAUUGCAAAAGACACAUUUUAAAUACCGUAUCCUAUCAGUUGAUAUUUUAAUAAAACGGGUGACUAGAUUUUCAGACUUAGACUGGUCUUACAAGUAAUUUGUUUUUGAAAUUACUAAUGGGAAAAUACGUUGACAUUUUCCAACUUUAUCAAUCCCGUGAAAAGUUUUGAUGAUCACUUUUAAGACAUUUUAACAAAAAUAACCUUUUCCUGUAGUAUGUAAGCCUUUGGUUAAGGAAAGCAUGCAUGUUGUAAGUGUAAGUUCUCCUGGCAUUGCGGUGUAAGUAUGACCAGGAAGAUAAAAGGCAGUGGUGUAGCAAAACAGAGCUAUUCAGAUAUGUGUACAGACAGGAUCCCCGGGAGCCAAGGGAUGCUGUGUUGUGAUAUGCUGCAGUUACAUCUGCUCUUGUCCUGUGUGGUCAGCUCACUUCUGAUAAGAUGUGGGAUCUCUGAGGAAUUAAGUCAGGACCUCAAUCUAACCACUAGAGAGCCUGUCGUUGGCAUUAGCAGUGACAUUGGCCCUGCAGUAUGCAAUAGCUGAGCUUCCCCUUGACAAUCACAAAAGUUCCUCAAAGGCUGUCUGCAGGAUAAUGUGAGCAAGUAAAGAGGAAGAGAAGCAUGGCAUGCACAGUACUUAGUAAUGGAAAUAUGACAAUUCCUGUUGCUAUUUUUGACUGGUGCAAAAUUACAGUGGGGAUAAGGCAGUCUAGAAAAGGCUAUGGCUUCAGUGUGCUUAGUUUGGGGGUGAAAGUAGAGAUAAGGGUUGGUACAGUUAAAAAUAAAUGAUUCUGUUGCCAUGGUUUCCUUCUUUAUAAAUUCUUUUCAACAUGAAUUGCUGUUGUUGUGUUUAAUUUUAGAUUCAUGCAGAUUUUCAACAAAUAAGAAUUCCUAUACGUCUGAGAAAUGGUUUUUUAAAGCUGUAGGAAAAGGUUUUUGGCAGUCUGGUUUAAAUAUUUCUAAGCAAAACUAACAUGCAGGGUUCUGGCAUUUAGACAACUACCAAAGGAAAGCGAAUAAAGAGAAUGGGAACUUAAGGAACAUAUAAGGCUACAUUUAUUGUUCUGAUUAAAACAUAAAUUCAUAUUAUUGUAACAUUUAAGGGCAUGCUGAGUAUUAAAUAUGGCCUCAGAACCAUAGGAAUACAGGUGUUCCUCCUAUGGAGUAAGUCUCUUGACAAUGUACCCAUAAAAGAUUUCAGGUAUCAAACAUUAAUUUAGAUAAUUAUGUGUUUAUUAAUAUCAAAGGCUCUAAUUGUGUUUUCAAAACCUGUCAUAUUACCUCAAAUACAAUUCCAUUUUCUUGACUAGGGAACCAGAAUUACUUAUAAUUUAUAUCCACUCUAAAACACCUAUGUUUCAUUUUUUUAAAAAUUAAUAAUGGAUAUUUCAAAUUUGGAAAACAUAAAUGAGAAGGAAGAGUUGACUUUACCAAAUAAAUUAUUUUUCCUUAUGCAUUCCUUAUAGUAUCAUUUAAAUAAUGAACUCCCCUACCACAAUUAAAAUAGGUCUAGAUUUUUAAAAAGCAAGAAAAUCAAAUUACCUGUACAGAAAUGCGUUAUAAUGCAGUUACAAUGUAAACAGCAAUAAUACAGUCGCAGUAGUAAAGGAUGAAAUUCAUUACAACUGAAAGGAAAUGAGUGAACUAUAUUUGUCUUUAUAAAUUUAUUUUCUAAUUUCAUUACUCUGAUUUAUUAUAGUACUUAUUUU
rnacentral:lncRNA from 1 species